rnacentral:rRNA from 1 species
GAUGAACGCUAGCGGCAGGCUUAACACAUGCAAGUCGAGGGGUAUUGGUUUUCGGACCAAGAGACCGGCGCACGGGUGCGUAACGCGUAUGCAAUCUACCUUUUGCAGAGGGAUAGCCCCAGAGAAAUUUGGAUUAAUACCUCAUAGUAUAGUACUUUGGCAUCAAGGAACUAUUAAAGUCACAACGGCAAAAGAUGAGCAUGCGUCCCAUUAGCUAGUUGGUAAGGUAACGGCUUACCAAGGCUACGAUGGGUAGGGGUCCUGAGAGGGAGAUCCCCCACACUGGUACUGAGACACGGACCAGACUCCUACGGGAGGCAGCAGUGAGGAAUAUUGGACAAUGGGCGCAAGCCUGAUCCAGCCAUGCCGCGUGCAGGAUGACGGUCCUAUGGAUUGUAAACUGCUUUUAUACAGGAAGAAACACUCCGACGUGUCGGAGCUUGACGGUACUGUAAGAAUAAGGAUCGGCUAACUCCGUGCCAGCAGCCGCGG